rnacentral:rRNA from 1 species
UACGUAGGGAGCAAGCGUUGUCCGGAAUUACUGGGUGUAAAGGGAGCGUAGGCGGGAAUGCAAGUUGGAAGUGAAAGGUAUGGGCUCAACCCAUGAACUGCUUUCAAAACUGUAUUUCUUGAGUGAAGUAGAGGCAGGCGGAAUUCCUAGUGUAGCGGUGAAAUGCGUAGAUAUUAGGAGGAACACCAGUGGCGAAGGCGGCCUGCUGGGCUUUAACUGACGCUGAGGCUCGAAAGCGUGGGUAGCAAACAGG